GAGGAUGUUCUCUGCAGACAUUUGGAUGGCAAGGAAGAGAGUGACCCAGUCCUCAGUAGGUGAGGCGCCCUUCUGUGCAGAUGAGGGGCCGCAGAGGGUGGAGAGGUGAGUGCCGUUUUCUUUCUUUGACUCCCAGCUUUUGGACAUAGGGGUGAAACCUGGUUUGCUGAAGAGACAGGGAGAGAUUGGCUUCACUGCCUCCCACAUGUGGACAGUCCUGUUGGAAAGCUGCAAAAGUACUCAGAAUAAAAAUACAAAAGUUGUAAAUUUUGCCUCACAUUCCAGCCAUACUUAAGGAAAAUCUUAAACUUCCAUCACCAGAAGACUAAAAAGAGGUCCCUCCUGCACCAGGAGAGCGCUGCGGGUCUUUUUCAGUGUUCUUGGAGGUGUGGGCGGUGAGACCUUGGUCACUUUCUGUCAGCCUCCUUGUUCUCUAAAGGGUUCUAAGCCAAAAUGGGGAUAAGCAAACAUGCUGAGCACCCUCGCGAUUAUGUUCCACCCACUGUAACACGCGCAAAGCUAGCCCCCGGCUUCCAGCCUCCGUGUUCACUGCCGCGCGUGCACCAGGGGUCGGUCCUCACAGCUGCGAACGCGCUCUGCAACUCCGUCCCCGCACAGGUGCUUCCAGCUGGCUGUCGCCACGACCCCCACCCACCACGACCUCGACUGGCCCCUGCCACCAUCCUGGCUCCCACUACUGAGCGUGUGUGUGUGGAUGACCCUACAGCAGAACAACUGCACGCAGCUGGCCUUGGCGCCUGCUGCCACGUGCAUGCCUGCAGCCGACCCCAGUGGUUAUGCAUACAUUCAUAGCCAGCCCUAGCCCCUGCCUAGCCAAGAACACUCACUACUGGACGUGGAAUCACUGUUGAGGACCCCAGCCCUGACAGCCACUGGUGACCUCAGCUGCUGCACCACUGGGUCCCUCUCCCAAACCUGGAGCUGCCAUACACCCCUGCAUUCGAUGUCUUGUGUACAACUAGACCUGGCGCAGCAGUGCACUCUUGCACACCCUUCCAGUGGCACUCACACACCUACUCUUCAGACCUUCUUGCAGGUGAAGGUCUUUCUUUAUGGAAGCCGCUUUAUGAAAACUGGAAAAUGUGACUGCUUCUUCAAAUGCACAGACUCCAGUGCAAGGAAACAAGGAACACCCAAAAUCAGGGAAACAUGACACCACCAAAGGAACUGAAUAAACUUCCAAUUAACUGACCCCCAAAGAAUGGAGAUCCACGGAAUGCCUAAAAAAAUACAAAGUAAUUGUCCUAAAGAAGCUCAGUGAGCCCACACACCACAACUACAGAGCCCGCAUGCUCUGGAGCCCUCACGCCACAACUAGAGAGAAGGCCGCGGGCUGCAACUAAGACCCAAUGCAGCCAUUAAAAAAAUAAUAAUAAAUAAAAAAUUAAAAAGAGAUCUCAGGUAAACAUUCUACCUUUACAACUCAAGGACCUAAAUAAAGAAGAACAGUCUACACCCAGAAUUACCAGAAGGAAUGAAAUAAUAAAUAUUAGGGCAGAAAUAAAUGAAGUAGAGAAUAUAAAAACAUGACCCCAAAAGAUCAAUGAAAGUAAGAGUUGGUUUUUUGAAAAGAUAAACAAAAUUGACACACCCUUAGCUAGUUUAAGGAAAGAAGAGAGAAUAUUCAAAUAAAAUCAGAAAUGAAAGAGGAGAUAUUACAGAGAAAUAAAAAGAAUCAUGAGAGACUGUUAGGCACAAUUAUAUGCCAACAACUGGAUAACCUAGAAGAAAUUAGUAAAGUCCUAGAGACAUACAACCUACCAAAACUGAAUCAAGAAGAAAUAGAAAGCUUCAACAGACCAAUAAAAAAGAGAUUGAAUCAGUAAUAACCUGCCAACAGAGAAAAACUGUGGACCAGAUGGCUUCACGGAGGGCAUGCUACCAAACAUUCAAAGAAGAACUAAUACCAACCCUUCUUAAACUCUUCCAGAAAAAAUAGAAGUAGAGAGAAUAUUCCUAAACUCAUUUUACGAGGCCAGCAUCACCCUGAUUCCAAAGCCAGACAAAGAUAGCACGAGAAAAGAAAACUAUAGGCCAGUAUCUCUGAUGAUCAUAGACGCAAACUCCUCAAGAUACUAGCAGAUUGAAUUCAACAGCACAGUAAAAGGACCGUACACCAUGGCUGAAUAAGAUUUAUCCCUGGGAUGCAAGGAUUAUUCAACAUAUGAAAAACAAUCAGUGUGGUACACCACAUUAGUAGAAUGAAAGACAAAAACCACAUGAUCAAUCUCAGUAGACGCAGAAAAAAAUUUUGACAAAAUCCAAAUCCUUUUAUGAUUAAAAACUCUCAACAAAGUCGAUAUAGAAGGAAUGUACGUCAAUACAACAAAGGCUAUAUAUGAAGAAGAAUAAAAAAGAGCUAACAUCAGAAUCAAUGGGGAAGAAACAAAGUUUCUCCUCUAAGUCUCAGAACAAUAUAGCUAACAAUAUAGUAAUAGAAGGAAGUUCUAACCAGAGUAAUCAGGCAAGAAAAAGAAAUAAAAGGCAUCCAAAUCAGAGGAGAAGAAGUAAAAUUACUUGUUUGCAAUGACAUGAUCAUACAUGUAGAAAACAAAGGCUCCACAAAAAAUCCUGUUAAAACCAAUAAAUUCUGCAAAGUUGCACGAUGCAAAAUCAGCAUUAAAAAAAUCAGCUGCAUUUCUGUACACUAACAACAAACUAUCUGAAAAAGUAACUACCAAAAAAACUCCAUUCACAUUAGCUAGGCAAAGAAUAAAAUACCUAGGUAUUAACUUAACCAAAGAGGUUAAAGAUAUACACUGAAAAUUAUAAAGCAUAGAUGGAGGAAAUUUUAAAAGAUGCAAAUAAGUGAAAAGACAUUCAACAUUCAUGGACUGGAAAAACUAAUAUUGUUAAAAUGUUUAUACUACCCAAAGUGAUCUACAAAUGUGAUGCAAUCCCUAUCAAAAUCUCAAUGAUUUUGUUUUUAUACAGAUAGAAAAAAACAACCCUAAAAUUCAUAUAGAACCACAAAAGACCCCAAAUAGCCAAAGCGGUCUCAAACAAGAAGAACGAAGCUGGAGGCGUCACAGUGUCUGACUUCAAAUUACAUUACGAAAUUAGUAAUCAGAAUAGUAUGGGACUGGCAUAAAACCAGACAUCUAGACCAGUGGAAGAGAAUAGAGAACCCAGAAAUACACCUAUGCAUUUACAGUCAACUGGUCUUUGAUAAAAGUUUCUCAGAACACACAAUGGGGAAAGGGGACAGUCUGUUCAACACAUGGUACUGGGAAAACUGGAUAUCUACAUGCAAAAGAAUUAAAUUGGAGCCCUGUCUUACACCAUUCACAAAGAUCAACUCAAAAUGGAUUAAAACUUAAAUGUAAGGCCUGGAACUAUAAAACUCCUAGAAGAAAUAUAGGAGAAAUGCUUCUUUUACAUUAGUCUUGGCACUAAUUAUUUUGGCUAUGACACCAAAAGUACAGGCAACAAAAGCAAAAUAUAGACAAGGGGAAUUACAUCAAACUAAAAAGCUUCUGCACAGCAAAGGAAAAAUUCCUUAUUUUCUUCUGGAUGUUCUAUCCAUUGUUGAAAGUGGGAAAAUAAUCAAAAUGAAAAGGCAAACUACAGAAUGGGAAAAAUAUUUGCAAACCACAUAUCCAGUACAGAGUUAAUGUUCAAAAUAUGUGAGGAAUUCAUACAACUCGAUGCCCAAAGUACAAAUAACCCAAUUUUAAAAGAUACUUUUCAAAAGAAGUAACCCAGACAGCUAGGAGGUAUAUGGAAAGAUGCUCAUCAUCUCUGAUCAUCAGGGAAAUGCAAGUCAGAACCAGGAGAUACCGCUUCACGCUUAUCAAGACGGCAGUUACCACAAAGAGAAGACACAAGUGUUGGCGAGGAUGUAGGAAAAGGAAACCCUUGUGCACUGUUGGUAGGAACAUAAAUUGGUACAACCACUAUGGAAAAGCGUAUGGAGGUUGCUUAAACAUUUGAAAAUAGAACUACCGUGUGAUCUAGCAGUUUCGCUUCUGGAUAUAUACCCAAAGGAAUGAAAUCAGGAUCUCAAAGAGAUCCCGUACAUUCCUGUGUUGAACACAGCACUAGUCACAAUAGCUGAGAUAUGUGAACAACCUAAAUGUUCUUCAACAUUUAAAUGGAUAAAGAAAAUGUGAUAUACACACAAUGGAAUGUUUACAUAUAUAAAUGGAAUGUUAUAAAUACAUACAUAUAUGGAAUGUAAUUGGAAUAUAUAAAUGGAAUAUUAUUCAGGUUUUUAAAAAUAAGGAAAUAUCACAUGUAUGUGGAGUCUAAAAUCAUCAAACUCCUGGAAGCAGAGGGUAGAAUGGUGUUUGCCAGGAGCUGAGGGUAGGGGCAAGUGGGGUGAUGGAGGUCUAAGGGUACAAAGUUUCAGUUAUGCAAGAUGAAUAAGCUCUAGAGAUCUAAUGUACAGUAUGGGUAUGGUAGUUAACAGUACUGUAUUGUAUACUUGAGAGUCUCAGAGAAGUUAGAUCUUAAAUCUUACCACACACAGGCACAAAAUCGUAACUGUGUAGAGGUGUUGCAUACUUUCGCUUGAAUGUGGUGAUCUUCUCAGAUAUCAAAACAUCAGGGGCUUCCCUGGUGGUGCAGUGGUUACAAAUCCGCCUGCCGAUGCAGGGGACACGGGUUCGAGCCCCGGUCCGGGAAGAUCCCACACGCCACGGAGCGACUAAGUCCAUGCACCACAACUACUGAGCCCGCACGCUAGAGCCCGUGAGCCACAACUGCUGAGCCCACGUGCCACAACUACUGAAGCCCACAUGCCUAGAGCCCGUGCUCCACAACAAGAGAAGCCACCGCAAUGAGAAGCCCGCACCGCAACAAAGAGCAGCCCCCGCUCACCGCAACUAGAGAAGGCCCACGCGUGGCAACGAAGACCCGAUGCAGCCAAAAAUAAAUAAAACAAAAAACAUCAAGUUGUACAGCUUAACUGCAUGUAACUUUUAUAUGUCAGCGAUACCUCAGUAAAGCUGUUAAAAUAUAAAAACAAAUUCAAGGAAAAGUUUUCAAGAAAUAAAAUAUUAUUUCUUACUCUCAGGUGAGGAUGUGGUGACGUAUAUUUUCUAGUCUUGCUGUAAGCUUAGAGUAUCUGUAUGAUGGUAACGCACCAGUCUGCUUAAAAUGGAAAACAAGAAAUUAAAAAUGUUGAAUUUGAAUUCUCAAUGAACUGUUUAGUCAUUUUUCCUAGAGGAUACUGAAUCAAAUUUUAAAAUAUAUUAUGGACCAAAGAGUCAAAGCCCCUUACAAACUGGGAGAUGUUACAGGUGUGUCUAAAUUUUAUUUUUAGAGCACCAGGGAGAAACACAGGAGUACAUAGAAGGAAUGAAUUCGGUUGCGCAUUUUACAGUUAAUCCAAGGACUCAGCAACACGGCACAUACUUGCCAAAUAACAUGAUUCUAGAAAGCAAGUAUUUUCUCGGUUGUACCAUAACAGCCUAGAAAUUUCUAUCUGUGGCAUUACUCUGAUUAAUGAAAUCAGUUCCAGGGCAAACGUUUGGGCUGUUAGAAAAUUUACAAAACCAUUAUUGUCCAGUUCCGCAGCUGUUGCCAUAGCCCUGACGCUCGUCUUUUCACACCUAGUUUACCGUAUCUUCCGUGCUGGGAUCCGUGCCUCGGUCUCGCCCUGCUCAAACAUUGAUACAUUCAAUUUAUUCCAUAUACAUUUGAGAACCUACCGUGUGCCACGCAUUUAUUUAAGCGAUGUUUUUAUAUCUUCCAUUCCCAAGUUAGGAGUGUUAAGGGUCCUUAAUUGACUAGCAAAUCAAAACUGAACUCAACCUAGAAUUCAAAGUUUUCCGAGUCUCACUUAUUUUUGCUGUUCAGUACACGGCUCUUCGUGGUCACGUUUCUCCUCAGCGCAGUCUGUGUCUGUUUCCGCUUCUUGGUGUUUCAUCCUUCCUCUUCAAGGACAUAC